rnacentral:tRNA from 1 species
UUUUAAAUGGCAGAAUUAGUGCCUAGACUUUAAGCGUCUAAUAUGGAUACACACUCCUUUAAAAU